AAAAGACCUUCUUCGGAGGGUAUGCUUAAAGAGGGGCUUGCGCCACAUUAGUUAGUUGGUGAGGUAAAGGCUUACCAAGAUUAUGAUGUGUAGCUGGACUGAGAGGUUGAACAGCCACAUUGGGACUGAGACACGGCCCAAACUCCUACGGGAGGCAGCAGUAGGGAAUUUUCGGCAAUGGAGGAAACUCUGACCGAGCGACGCCGCGUGAACGAUGAAGUAUUUCGGUAUGUAAAGUUCUUUUAUUGAAGAAGAAAAAAUAGUGGAAAAACUAUCUUGACGUUAUUCAAUGAAUAAGCCCCGGCUAACUAUGUGCCAGCAGCCGCGGUAAGACAUAGGGGGCGAGCGUUAUCCGGAAUUAUUGGGCGUAAAGGGUGCGUAGGCGGUUAGAUAAGUCUAUAAUUUAAUUUCAGUGCUUAACGCUGUCUUGUUAUAGAAACUGUCUUGACUAGAGUGAGAUAGAGGCAAGCGGAAUUCCAUGUGUAGCGGUAAAAUGUGUAAAUAUAUGGAGGAACACCAGAAGCGUAGGCGGCUUGCUGGGUCUUUACUGACGCUGAGGCACGAAAGCGUGGGGAGCAAACAGGAUUAGAUACCCUGGUAGUCCACGCUGUAAACGAUGAGUACUAAGUGUCGGGGUAACCUCGGUACUGAAGUUAACACAUUAAGUACUCCGCCUGAGUAGUACGUACGCAAGUAUGAAACUUAAAGGAAUUGACGGGACUCCGCACAAGCGGUGGAUCAUGUUGUUUAAUUCGAAGAUACACGAAAAACCUUACCAGGUCUUGACAUACUCUGCAAAGCUAUAGAAAUAUAGUGGAGGUUAUCAGGGAUACAGGUGGUGCAUGGUUGUCGUCAGUUCGUGUCGUGAGAUGUUAGGUUAAGUCCUAAAACGAACGCAACCCCUGUCGCUAGUUGCCAGCACGUAAUGGUGGGGACUUUAGCGAGACUGCCAAUUAAAAAUUGGAGGAAGGUGGGGAUAACGUCAAAUCAUCAUGCCCCUUAUGAUCUGGGCUACAAACGUGAUACAAUGGCUAUUACAAAGAGUAGCUGAAACGCGAGUUUUUAGCCAAUCUCAAAAAGGUAGUCUCAGUACGGAUUGAAGUCUGCAACUCGACUUCAU
rnacentral:rRNA from 1 species